rnacentral:rRNA from 1 species
AGGGUUUGAUCCUGGCUCAGAACGAACGCUGGCGGCGUGCUUAAUACAUGCAAGUCGUGCGAGAAAGCAUCCUUCGGGGUGUGAGUAGAGCGGCGAACGGGUGAGUAACACGUAAGUAACCUGUCCUUAAGUUCGGAAUAACCUCGCCAACGCGGGGCUAAUACCGGAUGUGGUCUUAUAAUCGCAUGAUUGUAAGAUUAAAGGUGACCUCUUCUUGAAAGUUGUCGCUUAGGGGUGGACUUGCGGACCAUUAGCUUGUUGGUAGGGUAACGGCCUACCAAGGCUGCGAUGGUUAGCCGACCUGAGAGGGUGAUCGGCCACAUUGGGACUGAGAUACGGCCCAGACUCCUACGGGAGGCAGCAGUAGGGAAUAUUGCGCAAUGGACGAAAGUCUGACGCAGCAACGCCGCGUGAGGGAUGAAUGUUUUCGGAUUGUAAACCUCUGUUGAGUAGGAAGAACCUCUUUAGGGUUAAUACCCCUAGGGACUGACGGUACUACUCGAGGAAGCCCCGGCUAACUACGUGCCAGCAGCCGCGGUAAUACGUAGGGGGCGAGCGUUGUUCGGAAUCACUGGGCGUAAAGGGAGUGUAGGCGGAAUGAUAAGUUAGAAGUGAAAUACAUAGGCUCAACUUGUGUCCCGCUUCUAAUACUGUUGUUCUUGAGUAUGGGAGAGGAAGAUGGAAUUCCAGGUGUAGCGGUGGAAUGCGUAGAUAUCUGGAAGAACGCCAGUGGCGAAGGCGGUCUUCUGGCCCAAUACUGACGCUGAGGCUCGAAAGCUAAGGGAGCAAACAGGAUUAGAUACCCUGGUAGUCUUAGCCGUAAACGAUGGACACUAGAUGUUGGGGGGGUUACCCUUCAGUAUCGAAGCUAACGCAUUAAGUGUCCCGCCUGGGGAGUACGCCCGCAAGGGUGAAACUCAAAGGAAUUGACGGGGGCCCGCACAAGCGGUGGAGCAUGUGCUUUAAUUCGAUGCAACGCGAAGAACCUUACCUGGGUUUGACAUGGGAGUGAAAGUUUCCAGAGAUGGAAUCCUUUCCUUCGGGAACACUCUACACAGGUGCUGCAUGGUUGUCGUCAGCUCGUGUCGUGAGAUGUUGGGUUAAGUCCCGCAACGAGCGCAACCCCUGCCCUUGGUUGCCAUCAGGUAAUGCUGGGAACUCUAGGGGGACCGCCUGGUAUAACCAGGAGGAAGGUGGGGAUGACGUCAAAUCCUCAUGGCCCUUACGCCCAGGGCUAGACACGUGCUACAAUGGUCGGUACAGCGGGAAGCGAGACCGCGAGGUGGAGCCAAUCCCUUAAAACCGGCCUUAGUUCGGAUUGGAGUCUGCAAUUCGACUCCAUGAAGUUGGAAUCGCUAGUAAUCGCGGAUCAGCAUGCCGCGGUGAGUACGUUCCCGAGCCUUGUACACACCGCCCGUCAAGCCACGAAAGAUGGGAGUACCCGAAGUCGUUUUUUCCAACCCGCAAGGGAGGAGUGCGCCGAAGGUAAGAUCAUUGAUUGGGGCUAAGUCGUAACAAGGUA